rnacentral:lncRNA from 1 species
UGUCACGUCUUUUACUGUACGCGCCUGCGAGCCUCUACAAUACAUGCAGGUCAUGAUUCAUCGUGGAGAGGCUCUCCUUCCAGUGUUGUGGGUGAUGUAGUGCUCCACUUUUAAAUAAGCUGUGGUUGUUUCCUGCGCAUACGCCCGCCUCGGGAAAGGCUCUUGAAUCUCGGCCUGCGUACACAUUGGUCGUACGAUGUUCCCCGAAACGAGGCAAGCCGCCCGGAGAAGAGCCGGGUGUUUGCUCCUUCUUCACCGCUGAAGGACUCGCUGCUACCGACCGCAAGGAUACGGUGUCGCAGCACGUGUAACGGGAGAACGGCCCUCCUCUCUCCUCUUCUGCG